GGCUGGACCAAGUGCAGUGGUGUUUACAACUAAUUGAUCACAACCAGUUACAGGUUCCUUUGUUCUUUCUCCACUCCCACUGCUUCGGUUGACUAGCCUUAA
ensembl:misc_RNA Y_RNA Y RNA